GUCCUAGUAGCUCAGCUGGAUAGAGCAACGCCCUCCUAAGGCGUAGGUCGGGGGUUCGAAUCCCUUCUAGGACGUCA
rnacentral:tRNA from 4 species